AUUGAACGCUAGCGGGAUGCCUUACACAUGCAAGUCGAACGGCAGCGCGGACUUCGGUCUGGCGGCGAGUGGCGAACGGGUGAGUAAUGUAUCGGAACGUGCCCAGUAGCGGGGGAUAACUACUCGAAAGAGUAGCUAAUACCGCAUACGCCCUACGGGGGAAAGGGGGGGAUCGCAAGACCUCUCACUAUUGGAGCGGCCGAUAUCGGAUUAGCUAGUUGGUGAGGUAAAGGCUCACCAAGGCGACGAUCCGUAGCUGGUUUGAGAGGACGACCAGCCACACUGGGACUGCGACACGGCCCAGACUCCUACGGGAGGCAGCAGUGGGGAAUUUUGGACAAUGGGGGCAACCCUGAUCCAGCCAUUCCGCGUGUGCGAUGAAGGCCUUCGGGUUGUAAAGCACUUUUGGCAGGAAAGAAAUCGCACGGAUUAAUACUCUGUGUGGAUGACGGUACCUGCAGAAUAAGCACCGGCUAACUACGUGCCAGCCGCCGCAGUAA
rnacentral:rRNA from 1 species